CAAAAAAAAUCGGGAAACACUUCCCAAAUUUUUUAAUAACAAAAGUAUAAAUAUUAUUUAAAUAUACUUGAAAUGUCUGAAAAUUGGUUUUAUUUAACUUGAAGUAUAUUGUCUCAGGAAACCUUACCUCACCUUUAUUUUAACAGGGCCGUAACUCCAUGUAGGAAAUUUCAAAACCAAACGCUUGUCUCCAUAUCAAAUUGUGUUCACGGC
rnacentral:lncRNA from 1 species